rnacentral:RNase_P_RNA from 1 species
GGAGUCGGCCAGACAGUCGCGUCAUUGGAAACAAUGCCGAGGAAAGUCCGGGCUCCACAGGGCACGGUGCCAGGUAACGCCUGGGCGGCGCAAGCCGACGGAAAGUGCAACAGAAAGAUACCGCCUAUGUCGGAGCAAUCUGGCAGGUAAGGGUGAAAUGGUGCGGUAAGAGCGCACCGCGAGCCUGGCAACAGGCCGGUACGGCAAACCCCACCGGGAGCAAGGCCAAAUAGGGAGACGAUGCCGCGGCCCGCGGUGUCUCCGGGUAGGCUGCUUGAGCGUACGGGUGACCGUGCGCCUAGAGGAAUGACUGUCCUAGACAGAACCCGGCUUAUCGGCCGGCUCCGCCA